rnacentral:rRNA from 1 species
AGAAAGUCCGCUUCGGCGGAUGAGUAGAGUGGCGCACGGGCUGAGUAACGCGUAAAUAAUCUACCCUUCUAUCUGGGAUAACAUCGGGAAACCGGUGCUAAUACCGGAUACGUUCUUCGAUAUGCAGGUAUUGAAGAAGAAAGAUGGCCUCUCCUUGGAAGCUAUUGUAGAGGGAUGAGUUUGCGUACCAUUAGCUAGUUGGUGGGGUAACGGCCUACCAAGGCGACGAUGGUUAGCGGGUCUGAGAGGAUGAUCCGCCACACUGGAACUGGAACACGGACCAGACUCCUACGGGAGGCAGCAGUGAGGAAUAUUGCGCAAUGGGGGCAACCCUGACGCAGCGACGCCGCGUGGGUGAGGAAGGUUUUCGGAUCGUAAAGCCCUGUCAGGUGGGAAGAAAUGUAUUGUGGUUAACACCCAUGAUAUUUGACGGUACCACCAAAGGAAGCACCGGCUAACUCCGUGCCAGCAGCCGCGGUAAUACGGAGGGUGCAAGCGUUGUCCGGAAUCACUGGGCGUAAAGCGGGUGUAGGCGGCCAGCUAAGUCAGGUGUGAAAGCCCUUGGCUCAACCAAGGAAGUGCAUCUGAAACUGGUUGGCUUGAGUCCGGGAGAGGGAAGUGGAAUUCCCGGUGUAGGGGUGAAAUCCGUAGAUAUCGGGAGGAACACCGGUGGCGAAGGCGAUUUCCUGGACCGAGACUGACGCUGAGACCCGAAAGCGUGGGGAGCAAACAGGAUUAGAUACCCUGGUAGUCCGCGCCCUAAACG